UACGGAGGGGGCUAGCGUUGUUCGGAAUUACUGGGCGUAAAGCGCACGUAGGCGGCUUGUUAAGUCAGGGGUGAAAUCCUGGAGCUCAACUCCAGAACUGCCUUUGAUACUGGCGAGCUUGAGUUCGGGAGAGGUGAGUGGAACUGCGAGUGUAGAGGUGAAAUUCGUAGAUAUCAGGAGGAACACCGGUGGCGAAGGCGGCUCUCUGGACGGUGACUGACGCUGAGACGCGAAAGCGUGGGGAGCGAACAGG
rnacentral:rRNA from 1 species